rnacentral:misc_RNA from 1 species
AAAUAAGCGCCUGGUCUCCUCUCACCUGCGUAUAGCACGCGCGCUGGUCCUAACAAGCAUUGUGUAAUAACAGCAAGACGAGCCUGCAUAGUUUCUUCGCUAAAGCUUCAAGAUUGAAAAGAUAAAACAAGACUCGAUUGAGACAAAGGUAAAACAAGACUCGUUUGAGACAGAUGGCACUAGUUUCAGGAGGAAGGUCGACAUUAAACCCUGAUGCCCCUCUCUUUAUCCCUGCUGCCUAUCGUCAAGUGGAGGAUUUCUCCCCAGAAUGGUGG